rnacentral:rRNA from 1 species
CAACAGAGAGAAGCAAUACCGCGAGGUGGAGCAAAACUUCAAAAAUGGUCUCAGUUCGGACUGUAGGCUGCAACUCGCCUACACGAAGUUGGAAUUGCUAGUAAUCGUGGAUCAGCAUGCCACGGUGAAUACGUUCCCGGGUCUUGUACACACCGCCCGUCACACCAUGGGAGCUGGUAACACCCGAAGUCAGUAGUCUAACCGCAAGGAGGACGCUGCCGAAGGUGGGGAUUAGCGACUGGGGUGAAGUCGUAACAAGGUAAC